AGGAAAGCCCGCUGUGAUGCCCUCAGUCAGAAGGCGAGAUUUCCAUCUCUUUCUCAGAGGCUGGAAAGCCUCUUAUGCAAGGCGGAGAAAGCAAACGCAGUCUGGCAGUUGAGGCCGUCUGCCCAGGGUCUGGAUCCCGUCCCAACCCGGCCAUCGAGGUGGAGGCGGCGUUGGCGUCAUCCGGAACACUUGGCUGAAGACGUUUCCGCUCAAGCAGAAUCCGAGAAGGAGUUGUCUCGGCUGGUUCCGGGACACCUCUGCCUCUUUUUGGGUGUCAUUCUGAUUAGGAUGUUUUCCUUGCUGAUUAUUUAUUUAUUUAUUUAUUUAUUUAUUUUAUUCGAUGUACGUCUUCUCCUACAACACCAGGAUUCCUCCCAAGCUGCUUCGCACCACCUUCUUUUGUGGGUUCUCCAGCAAAAAAAAUUGUGCCCUCCAUAGCCCUAGGCUAGCUGGUGGUGAAAGGUUUUGGGAAUUGCCGCCCAAGAGCCCCCGGUUUAUCUGAGGUUGGGAACCACAUCCCCCAGACCUUAGAGAAGAAGCCACACCUGCUUCUGCAAUUCCCACCCACCAAUGUUUUUCCCCCCUAUAAAACACUUUUUAAAACUGUGAGUGCCCUCUUCUGCCCUCUAGUGGUCAAAAAAUUAAUUUUGUUCCAAAGUUUUGGAGGAAGCACUGGUGGAGGGGGGGCGAUGGUGACUGUGUCCCCCUUGAAGGCUGACUUCUGAGCCAUUAAAAAAAGGACAUUGUUUACCUUCUCGGCUGUACUAAGCUGGGCGACAAAGACAGGUUGAGGAAGGGUGGGUGUUUCUUUUUUCUUUCUUUUUUUUGGGGGGGGGUGUCCACCUGUUCCAAAAUAAGACUUUCAGGCUCGGGUGUGGGUGGAGAAAGGUUUCAAUCCUCCCACAUAUAGAAUGAAGCCAAUUUCCUGGAUCUUGCAGGCGAAGGAAGAAGGUCUGCUUGGCUCCCUCUUAAGGGAAUCUGUGUUGCAGACAGAAAACAAAGAAAAGAGCUGCAUUAAAGUGCUUCCCUCUCCAUUCUGCUUUGAAUUGGUCCCUUGUUCAGAACCCUUGAGGCCUAAAAUCUUUAUUUCGUUUUAUUUCAUUUGAAAGAGAAAGGACCUAGAGCAGAAAAUGACGAAGCCGAGGCACGAAGGGUCCUGAUUUGAGCCUGCCAUGGUAGUGCAAGACGAACCAGAGAAGAGAGUCAUGCUGGGGAAAGUGGAAGGCAGUGGGAAGAGAGGAGGACCCCCAAUGUGAGAUAGAUCGACUCCCUAAAGGAAGCCAUGGGCUUGAGUCUGCCUUUUGUCCUCCCGCCACUGGUGGCAACUUCUUUGGACAUCCCUCAAAUUCUUUCCGGUUUUUAGCCUGAACUUUACUUGGGGCAUUGGGAAGGAGAGGUGUAGGGUUCAAUACUUCAUUAUCUCUUACCAGUGGCAGGCUAAAACUGAUUCACCACACCUCUGAACCUGGAGCCACACACAGCCCCACUGCCGCUGCUGACCCCAUUUAAAAAAUGGGGAAAUUCUGUCUGGGGCCGUUUGGUUGUUAACACAACUUCUGAGACAAAUAAAAGAUUGAACACUUCAUAUUCA
ensembl:lncRNA